rnacentral:rRNA from 1 species
UACAGAGGGUGCGAGCGUUAAUCGGAAUUACUGGGCGUAAAGCGUGCGUAGACGGCUAUCUAAGUCGGGUGUGAAAGCCCCGGGCUCAACCUGGGAAUUGCAUUCGAGACUGAAUAGCUAGGGUGCGGUAGAGGGAAGCGGAAUUUCCGGUGUAGCGGUGAAAUGCGUAGAUAUCUGAAGGAACAUCAGUGGCGAAAGCGACUUCCUGGACCAAUACUGACGCUCAUGUGCGAAAGCGUGGGGAGCAAACAGG